rnacentral:rRNA from 1 species
GAUGAACGCUGGCGGCGUGCCUAAUACAUGCAAGUCGAGCGAACGGACGAGAAGCUUGCUUCUCUGAUGUUAGCGGCGGACGGGUGAGUAACACGUGGAUAACCUACCUAUAAGACUGGGAUAACUUCGGGAAACCGGAGCUAAUACCGGAUAAUAUUUUGAACCGCAUGGUUCAAAAGUGAAAGACGGUCUUGCUGUCACUUAUAGAUGGAUCCGCGCUGCAUUAGCUAGUUGGUAAGGUAACGGCUUACCAAGGCAACGAUGCAUAGCCGACCUGAGAGGGUGAUCGGCCACACUGGAACUGAGACACGGUCCAGACUCCUAAGGGAGGCAGCAGUAGGGAAUCUUCCGCAAUGGGCGAAAGCAUGACGGAGCAACGCCGCGUGAGUGAUGAAGGUCUUCGGAUCGUAAAACUCUGUUAUGAGGGAAGAACAUAUGUGUAAGUAACUGUGCACAUAGUGACGGUACCUAAUCAGAAAGCCACGGCUAACUACGUG